CGUCUGUCGUCGUUCCCCCCAAAUCGACCGCCGUACCGCCGCCCACACGCCGCCGCCGAGCUCCCACGCGCGCUCCAGCCCGCCCACCUCCCACGUAGCCGCCGGCGCCGGCCGUCCGUUGAGCUCGCCCCCGGCCCCUCCCCUCCUCUUCUCGACGUCGGAGCUGCUGUCCCGCAUCAGAUCGAGCGCCCUCUCUCUCCCCUGCCGCAGCUCGACCCGCCACCGCCGGCCUCCCCCACUGCCGCUCCUCGCCUGCUGCAACGAGUGGCCAGACGGCCGUCUCCCCCACCAGCGGGAAAGCAGGAGUGGCGAGGAAGAGCAAAGGGGCCUCCUCUUCUGCCCGGACGCGCGGCUGGGCGAUUCCUGCUGCGCCACAGCACGAGGAGUUGCGGCCAGUGCACCUCUAACUCGAGCAGGAAGGAGGGCGUCCGCCGUGGAGGCCGGUCAGGGCUUGCAGUUCUCAGAUGACGUACUAUGUCGUCUACCACGGCAGGGUUCCUGGAGUCUACGAGGACUGGGAAGACUGUAGGAGGCAGGUCCACCGUUUCAGCGGCAACAGCUACAAGGGGUACACCACUUUGGAGGAGGCGGAAACUCGAUACGCCAACUUUCGAGCGGGACAGAGGAGGGAGAUGUGGAGGACCCCUUUCAUCGUGAUGAUGCUUGUCGCCACCGUCUCUCUAGUUUAUGUCAUUGUUGUUUAGCUAGGUCAUCGACACCGGACUUAUAUGUAUUUGUGUAACAUGUGCUACUUCGAGUCGUGAUGUUUGAACCAUAUGGUCAACUAUCUACUAUCUAAACUUGUCUUAUUAAUGCAUGCAUGUUGUGAACAUUUGGGACUUUCUAUAUAACUGUGUAUCUGUGUA